rnacentral:misc_RNA from 1 species
CAUUCCCAGAUCGCCAAAGAACCCCCUCAAAACACGGGCCUCGUCGGUGGCUCCGCAGAAACGAGCGGCGCGCCGAGCCGAGAAGGGGGAGAGGGGAUCUCCUCCGGCGGGCUUGCCUUAAGUGGGGCGCGCUUUCGAAGUCGGCCGCAUCCACAGCAACGGAUUGACUCCGGCACGCACGUUCUAUAGUGGCUUCAACGACACUGUGCUAACUCGAAGCCAUGGCAGGAAUAGACUCCCGCGAAGGACAGAGCUUAUUCAUCAACUACCUCAUCCUGAUCGUGCUCCUGCUCAUCUUAUGGGUCCUGUACGUCGGAAUGUAAAUGCACCACUUGGACUGGCAACCAGUCGCCAUCCGCUGCAAAACCCGACGGCUGCCGAGAUGCUGCACUUCCAACAAGCAACCACGGAGGGGGCCCUCCUGACAAGGGAGCACCGAAAGUCGCACGCUCGCAAAUUCCACUACGAGGGGGCCACACGUGUUGGCCUCGUAUAGUACCAACAACGUUAUCCACAGCAUACAGAGUGAACUAGAAAGAAACAAAGGAAUUGGCACAAGCCCAGAUAAGCCCACAUGUGAACAGUCACCGUGGAAGCAAGCAGCCUGAAUAUCAUGUAUAUAUAAUGAAACCCGCUCCUUGCACCUUAGAAGACUGUCCUGUAGAUAGAACUCAAAGCUACCAUCAAUCAUUCGAUGCAUGCUUCUGCAAUAAUCAUUUAGAGGCCUCUUUGAGGCCCCUUUGUGCUUAGGCGUCAUCAGUGUAUGUGUUGCGUCACAUCUGUCAUGUUGAACAUUGUGUCGAAGCUACUUCGCCAUCCUGCUAUGGUUGUAGAGAUUAAAGGUGAAAUCAAUAGAAAAGUCGAAAUAAAAUUUGUUCUUAAUGAUUAUUGAAUGGUCAAUAAACAGUGCUUGACUCAUUCUUCCCCUC